rnacentral:rRNA from 1 species
AUUGAACGCUGGCGGCAGGCCUAACACAUGCAAGUCGAGCGAGCGGCGGACGGGUGAGUAAUGUCUGGGAAACUGCCUGACGGAGGGGGAUAACUACUGGAAACGGUAGCUAAUACCGCAUACCAUCAGAUGUUCCCAGAUGGGAUUAGCUAGUAGGUGGGGUAACGGCUCACCUAGGCGACGAUCCCUAGCUGGUCCGAGAGGAUGACCAGCCACACUGGAACGGAGACAGGGUCCGGAUCCCUACGGAGGGAGACAGGGGGGAAUAUUGGACAAUGGGCGCAGGCCUGAUGCAGCCAUGCCGCGUGUGGAAAGAGGGCCUUCGGGUUGUAAAGCACUUUCAGCGGGGAGGCGUUACCCGCAGAAGAAGCACCGGCUAACUCCGUGCCAGCAGCCGCGGUAAUUC